GUUGAUUGGUUGCCUCUCGCCCUCUCCCCAGCUGGGAGCCGGCCUGCAACGCAGCCCAAGCGUGUGCUGGAGCAGGAAUGGAACCCAGUGACCCUUCACUUUGUGGGACGAUGCCCAGCCAACAGCCAUACCAGUAGUUGCAUUGAACUUUUAGACAACACUUAAUUCCUUUUUACAAGUUGUUUUGGCAAACAGGAGAAAGAGAGAUGCCACGGUCAUUUUAUGAGGUUAGUGAAAUUACAGAUGUUUCUCUUACUAGCAAAGAUAUGAAAAUCUUACACAAUAUGCUAGCUCAUCAGAUCCAACGAUACAUUAAAAGAAUUAUGAUCAGUAGUGUUCGUUUUAGGAAUGUAAACAUGGUUUAACAUUUAGUUAUCUAUUAAUAUAAUUUAUCUCAUUAAUAGGGUAAGGAGAAAAAUCAUGGUUAUCUUGAUACCAUAAAAUUACAUAAGAUCCAGCUCAAAAUACAAGAUAACUAUAUAAAAGUUAUUACCAAAAGCCUACAUCAAAUAAUACCUAAUGGAGAAAUUUUAGACACAUUCACUUUAAGAUCAGUAAUAAGAUAAGGAUGCCCCCAUUAUUAUUGCUGUUUAACAUGAUAAGAUCCUGGCUAACACUAUAAAGGGAAAAAAUAAGUGUAAGGAUAGGAAGGGAAAUAAACUCAAAAUUUGCAGAUAACAUCACUUACUUUAGAAGAACCAUUAGAAUCAGAAACUUAGGACUAGUAAGAGUUUAGCAGGGUUGCUGGAUUAAAGAUCAACAUACAAAAGUUAAUAGCACUUACUAUGCUAGCAAUAAUCAACUAGUAAAGGUAAUCAGAGGUAAAUAUUGUAUAAAAUAAUAGCAAUAAAACUGAAGUCUCUAGGAAUUAACUCGAGAAUAUAUAAAACUUUAAACUUUAAUGAAGAAGAGGACCUAAGUAAAUGGAAGGGAAAACCUUUACAUGUUCUUGGGAUAAGAUUACUUAUAAGAAUGUCAUUAUAAGAAUGUCAGUUUUCUCUUAUUUUAAUCUAUAAACUAAAAUGCUAAAAAAAUUCCAUUUGGUUUGACAAACUCAGUCACCUAAUCUAAAAUUUAUAUGGCAAGCAAGAUAAAGCUUGUAAAUUGCUAAAUCAGUCUUAAAGAUUUGCUUUGACUGGGCUUGUCUUAUCAGAACUUAAAUCAGACGUUAAAGUGUUCUAAGGUUGUAGCAGGAAAAAUUAGCGUAAGUGCAAGAACCAAAAAAAACAGACCAGGAAGCAAAUUAGAGGGCGGAGACUUAGCUGUACACAUUCAGAACUGAGAGGUGACACCGUAGAUCACGGCGGAAAGGAGUCCUUUUAGGGAGAGUGGCUCACUACGUGGAGAACAGACCCGCCUGACCCCACAAACAGGGUGGACUCUGGACAAAUCAAAGAUCUGAGUGUGAAAGGAAAAACU